CAAGUAAAUAAGCAAGAAAAGCGUAGGUGUCCUGGGCUUGGGAUGCAAGCUGUUGUGGGAAGACUCCCCAGCUGCCGUGCCAGCUGUGGCUGGUUGGGAUGGGAGACAGCAGAAGAGCUCCCUCUUAAAUGUUCAACUUAUGAUCUGUUCCCGCCUCCUUUUUUUUUUUUUUUUUUUUUUUUUUCCCUUCCUUCCUAUUUGUUCUCCCCCUCUUCUUUGCUGUCAGGAAGUUUUCCUUGCAAAAAGGACACAUAAAUCCUGAGGCGUGAAGCUUCCCCAAGAGUCGGUGGGGCCAGGAUAUUAUUCCAAGCACCAAAAAAGUGAAGAGAAUGAAGGAAAAGCAUACACUUGUGCUGCCUCCUCCUCCCAGCAGCCAGCCUGACAGGCACAGCUGAAUCCCUGCUGUUCUAGGUGCAGAUAAUGGCCACAAGGAAGGGCAAUGAAGCUCAGGUGGCUUCACCAGGGCAUGUUAGGAAGAACAGGAGAGAAGAAGAAUGAAAGAGGUCCUUUUGCUGCUGCAAUCAGGCAGAGAACUGAUACUGCUUUCAUCUUAAGCAGAAAAAUUGUGCAUACUGCUAUGGUGAAUCAAUUCUUCUUUUUUGGUGAAGCUCCAGCUAUUGAACUGGGAACAGAAGUAAUAGCACCUGAUAAUAGAUGAUGACCCACAUCACAGUUACCAAAAGUUCACUCACUGAAGGACUUUGCAGAGUAACACCAUCCUUGCUGCCCUACUCCAUCCCAGCAUGGAAAAUACCUCUGAGGGAAGGCUGAGCUGAAAACCUCGGGUGUCACUCGUGGAAGUCCCAGUGCUUGCAGGUGUGACGGAACAACAGACCCUGCUUCUAGCACUGGCCAGUGGUGAACAAAACUGAUUAAACAGGAGAGAGGGGAAGUGCAUCAGUGCUCCUUCCCCACUACGUUGCAGAAGUACCAGCUAUGGACAUCAUGAGAAGCCUCAGCUGGAGAAGACUCAGUUUGCUAACCCAGUUGUGUUUCCAGUAGUGUGCUCAAGUGGAGGGGCAGUGUUCACUGCCUUGCGAGGCGUGGGGCUGCCCCGCAGCCUGGCAAAGCCCUGACAGGUUUGGAAAGGCAGCAGGGUCGUAUCAGACUGAUGCACAUGUGACUGUGUUGGAAGGAAGCCAGGGGAAAUGAUAUCCAGGAUGUCAAUCCAAGAAACUCACCCUUGUUAGCAGAAAGCUCCUCACUGCAGAGUUGGCCCUGUUCUAUUUGCAGUUUCUGUGUUGCAAGCUUAGCUUUUAAAUAGGAGUAUAAUGAAUAGAAAAUACUGAAAUGCAAGGGGAUCCCCUGAAAAUUAUGAUCAUUUCAGCAUUCGUCAAAGUUAUCCUAAGAAGCUCCUUCUAAACCCACGCAGCUGUUUCACAAAACCAGAUGCAUUUUAAUAGUAGCUUAAAAAGGAGUGGAAAUUAUUCCUGCCGCUGUGCAAACCACUGCAUGUGCACACGCAGGCUCGCUGCCUGAGUAGUAUGUUUAGCAGAGGCAGUGGUGGAGGAUGAUAUAUGAUGUGACAUUAAACUGAGCUGCAAACUAAAAAAAUAUUACUGCUGGGACUGAAACAGUUGCAGUUUCAAGCCAGGUGGGGUAGGAACUGAUAAGCAUAGGCCUGGCCUUCAUCCUUCACUUAAAAGUCAGCAUAAGAAUAUAGUAAUGAAAUAGCCUGGUUGGAGUUUCCCAAGUGCUGCAGUAGUUUUUAAACCUUUUAAAAAUUGCAUCAGAAUGAAAGCUGUGCAGUUCCAGUGGAUGAUGCUUUUGUGACAGCAAAAUAAGCUUUACUUAACUCCUCCUCCUAAUUUAUUUAUUU